rnacentral:lncRNA from 1 species
GUCAGUAGUAUCUUAUAGGUGUAUCUUAAUUUAGAUUUCCAUGUGUUAAGUCACAUUAUUUUAAAUUUCAGGGCACAGAUGUGGACUUUGCAGCCUUGAAGGCAGUGGUGAGGCUUGCUGAACCAUACCUCCGUGACUCUCAAGUGAGCACUUUUACCAUGGAGUGCAUGAAGGAGCUCCUCGAUCUGAAGGAACAUCGGUUGCCCCUGCAGGAGCUCUGGGUGGUGUUUGAUGAUUCGGGAGUGUUUAACCAGACAGCCCUUGCAAUUAAGCAUGUCAGGUAUGUGUUUGGUUAUCAGAAGAAUUCUAAUAUCCAAGCAAAGGGUGUCCGUCCCAGCGGUCAGAAGGUCACUCACGUGAUCUCCUCCACUAUGAUGGCUGGUCUCCUGCGGUCCCUGCUCAUGGACGGGCUUUGCCAGGAGCCCGGUGAGGAAGGAAGAGAAAUUCAGUUCCGUAGUGAUCCACUGUCUACUAUAAAUGCCUGCUUCGAAGGUGACACUGUUAUUGUUUGUCCUGGCCAUUAUGUGGUACAUGGCACUUUCUCCAUUGCUGACUCCAUUGAGUUGGAAGGUGAGUGUGGAAGACACACAGCCAAACUCUCACACCUGAAAUGUUCAAGUAAACAAUAAAUCAC